GUAGCACAGAGAAGCUUGCUUCUUGGGUGACGAGCGGCGGACGGGUGAGUAAUGUCUGGGAAACUGCCUGAUGGAGGGGGAUAACUACUGGAAACGGUAGCUAAUACCGCAUAACGUCGCAAGACCAAAGAGGGGGACCUUCGGGCCUCUUGCCAUCAGAUGUGCCCAGAUGGGAUUAGCUAGUAGGUGGGGUAACGGCUCACCUAGGCGACGAUCCCUAGCUGGUCUGAGAGGAUGACCAGCCACACUGGAACUGAGACACGGUCCAGACUCCUACGGGAGGCAGCAGUGGGGAAUAUUGCACAAUGGGCGCAAGCCUGAUGCAGCCAUGCCGCGUGUAUGAAGAAGGCCUUCGGGUUGUAAAGUACUUUCAGCGGGGAGGAAGGCGUUGAGGUUAAUAACCUCAGCAAUUGACGUUACCC
rnacentral:rRNA from 1 species